GACGAACGCUGGCGGCGUGCUUAACACAUGCAAGUCGAACGGAAAGGCCCUGCUUGCCGGGUGCUCGAGUGGCGAACGGGUGAGUAACACGUGGGUGAUCUGCCCCUUACUUUGGGAUAAGCCUGGGAAACUGGGUCUAAUCCUGGAUAGGACCAUGCUGUAGGUGGUGUGGUGGAAAGAUUAGUUUCGGUAAGGGAUGAGCUCGCGGCCUAUCAGCUUGUUGGUGGGGUAAUGGCCUACCAAGGCGUCGACGGGUAGCCGGCCUGAGAGGGUGGACGGCCACAUUGGGACUGAGAGACGGCCCAGACGCCUACGGGAGGCAGCAGUGGGGAAUAGUGAAAAAUGGGCGCAAGGCUGAUGCAGCGACGGCGCGUGGGGGAUGACGGCCUUCGGGUUGUAAACUCCUUUCAGCCAUGACGAAGCCCUUGUGGUGACGGUAGUGGUAGAAGAAGCACCGGCUAACUACGUG
rnacentral:rRNA from 1 species